rnacentral:lncRNA from 1 species
AUGAAUAUGAUUGAGACUGUUUCUUUGUCUUUUAGGUAUCUUUCCUGCAGACAUAUUGAUGUGUACUGCAUUGUGUGAACAAGGAAGUUGGUUGUAGCAGUGUUUGUAGUAGCCAAAAAUAAGAGCUGGCCUAUCUAUUCCUUCCACACUGCAUUAAAGAAAGUUCGAUUGCAUCUGUACCAAGAAGUACCAGGCAGCCACUAAAAAGAACAUAGUUCUAGGUGAACUGAGAAGCAAAGAUCCAUAAAGUGUAUUGCUAAGAAGGAAGACAUUGAGGCUUCAACAGGAGAUGUGACUUGUCGAAGGUCCAGACCUGCAGCCUAGAGGAACCAUGUUUUGAUCCUCUGAAGUCCUGUGCUCAGGAUGAGUUCUGUCCAUGGUCUUCACCAGGGAUGGCUUCUACGUUAGCAAGUUGUGUGAAGUGGCCUCCAGGAGGCUCUCUAUGGAAGAUAUCUGUGAGCCACAUGAGAAACUGAUUUUGAGGGUCCUGAAAUUUGUGAUGGGGAACCUGGAACGCGUGGCCUCCGAGUCACCACGGUAGGAAAGAGAAAACUGAGGAAGGCACCACAGCCCCAAGCUGCCUCAGCUCAGACUGGGACAUGUCACUUCUGUUCACAGUCCAUUGGCCAGAACUAAAUGCACUUGUCCAAGCAGUCACAAAAAAGGCUGAGAGACCAAGGGGAGCCCACGGACAAUCAGUGCCAAGGCGUGUUCCAUGGUGCUUACUCCAGGAGAAGCCAGCUUCCAUGUUGUGCAGAUGCUCAAGCAGUGCUUGGAGAGGCUCCUUGUGGAAAGGAGCCGAGGCCUCUGCUGACAACCAGCACCAGAUGGACCUCACAGUCUCGCAACUAACAUGGGAACCAGUAAUCUCAUGCCAGAGGAAGCACUCCUGAGGCAGAGGAGAUUUCAGGAGAGAACAGGUUGAACAUUAAUAAGGAGGAGCUUUGGCACUGGUCCAAGAAACAGGAUAAGCUAAAUCUCUGCAUCUAUUCUGGACACCAGAAUGGCGCGGGGACCAUUUAGAGGUGAGAUGGGCAGAUGAGGAGCUGAAGUUUCAGAGAGGUUAAGCAAUUUGCCUAGGUUCACACAGCAAAGAUGAUGAAACUUACAACCACAAGGUGAGCCCUUCUUACUAGAAGUUCUCUUCGUGUCUCCUGGUGUUCACAUAUUGGAAGACUUAAUCCUUCAGUGACCGGGAAAAGACCUCCUAGGACCUACCAAUCCAGCCUUAUCAGACACCUGGCAGAGAAAGUGAUUUCUGAAGCAGGAGAAAACCCAGGAAGAUUGCUCAGUUCCUGUGCAAGCUGCUUCCCAGCUGGAGAUGACAGUUAAUCUUGAAAAUCAAUUCAGUGCCUGCUCUCACUGCAGACACUCCUCAGGGCAGGCCACGGCUCCUCUCACCACCGUUAAACAGAAUAAAAAGUGGGGAAUUGAGCAGCAUAAGACAUGCAGUGGCUGCCAGUGGGAAGCGGUCAGGAGCAACUGUGUGCUGGGCCCGGGGUCGCCCUAGAACACUGCUAUUGGGCUCACAGGUGGCACCUUCAGCCUCAGGCACAGACAAGGUAUGGGCGGACAAGAAGUGGUACUGGCCGAUUUUGCCUGAGAAUGGGCAGAAUCAGCUCAUGUGGGCAACCUCAGUCUUUCUCUGACAGCCUGGGCAUGGGCUGCUUUGGCUUUGUGGCAAGCCUGUUCUUUUCUGGAUACUUUCUGGACUGUGACCCUGUGUCUUCUGAGAUUGUCCAAGAGUGGACGAGGCUUACCCAUGGGUGAUGACUCAGCAGGGAGCCCAGGGCCCUCUGUGUGUGGCUGCAAGGCUUCAGAUAUCUCACAUGUCUUCUCAAGGUUGCAAUUAUGUCACAUGGCUCUAAGACUAGUAGACUAGGCCAGAUUAUUCUAGAAUCUUCUCUCAGAUUCUGGAAGGUAGGCAGAAAACACCACUUUCAGAGAGGAUUAAUUCUGCUUCAGAAAAAAAGUGAGAUGAGAAAGCAAUGGUAUCCUUCGGUGGGACAUGUGACAGUAUCACCUCACAGCACUGUGGUGUUUAUCUUAAUGUCUUUCACUUACAAGAUCAAGGCUCUGGGAGGUAGGUAGGCAGGGCAGAAACUAUUGUCCCCAUUUUAAAGAGGAGGAAACUGAUGUUCAGAGACUUUAACAAGGAUUGGAAUGGUAGAAAGCAAACUCAAAGACGGACCUUACUAUAAAUAUCUGAGGUUUUUUUUUUUUUUCUAACAAUUAACCCUCGCUACAUGACUCUGUAUAUCUGAGACCGAGUAUCUUCUUUCCUGAGGAUAUUGUAUGCUUGAGGUGAGGGUAAUUAUGAUAAUAGCAACGUGUAUAUAGGAGGGCUGUGAGGAGUCCCGGAGAAAAUAGAUGUGAAAGUACAUUGUAAAGCAAUAGUGCCAUGCAAGGGAAUGUAAUAUUAAUAUUAUUCAAACUCCUGCCACCUCAUGUUCUCUUCAAAUGUCUCUUCAGCAAUGACUUGCCUUUCUGUCCUUUGCCUACCCAGCUUCAUCAUCUGAGUAUAAUGAGAACAAACAUAUGGGGGCUCUGCACUGGUGCUUACUAUCACUAUUUUACAGAUGAGUAAGCUGAGGCUCCGGGAAAUGACUUUCCUCAGCUAAUAAACCCAGUGUAUGGCAGGAUGGCGAUGCUCCGCCCCUCCUGCUGCAGCUCACCUCCCAGGUGUGUUCCCGCUCACACUCUGUGUUGCCUCUCUGUAUGGUGACCUCGAGGCUCUCAGACCCUGCAUGCUGUAGAGAGAGCCUGUGCACUCCUUAAAGUACGGUCACGUCUCAUUUAUGCACAUCACCCUGUCCCCAGUGGCUCUUAGGCAGGAGGAAAUCUUCAUUCCAUCUGAGGCCCAGGAACAGGGUUGUGUGAGGGCUGCUCCCCAUAAUGUCACAGUGGGGGCUGCCAAAAUGUCUUCACAUACAGGAUGAGCCACAGGAGCAGCCAGUGGAAGGAACCCUGGUACUCUGCCUUCUACAGUCUGUGGGGAGGAGGACACUUUCUUAAACCCAGUUUGUCUGAGGAUCUCAGCCGUCAGGGAGGAAAAAGCCACCCAGUCCUCAGUCCUCCCCUUCUAGGAAUCAGGAAUGUUGGAGAGAACUGGGCACUGGGCUCAAAGACAGGGAAUCUGGAAUUUUAGGAAUGAGUGAAGUUUCCAGAGAAAGGCUGCAUGUGGUCAAAUUCCAGUUCUGCCAUUUCUUAAGUAUGUGAUCAUGGACAACUCACUUGAUUCCUCUGAGCCUCAGUUAUCUCAUCUGAAAAAUGGGUGUUUAUUUGUUAAUUAAAAACAUUUAUAAUGAAGGAGCAAGUGAUGCUGUAGGUAUGAAGGAUACAAUGAGGCAGAUGAGGUCUUGGGGGCUGAAAAUAACUCAAGGAGUCAAUCGCUAGUGAAGGAAGUAGAGCAGCUAAUAAAUGCACAAGAAAAAUUUACAUAGUGUGAGUACUAUAAAAGAAAAGCAGCAUAAGUUGAUGACUAAGGGGGCUCUUUUGGAUUGAGGUGGGUUAGGGACGAUGUUUCUGAAGAAGUGACAUUUGAAUGAGAUAAGAGUGACAAGAAUGAGCCAGCUAUGCCAAGACCCGAAGUUGGACAGUGAGGAAGUAGAAAGAGGGUUUCAGGUAGAUGGGGCAGCCUGGGCACAGGCCCCGAAGGAGGAGCAAGUGUGAUGAGCUCAGAGUGCUGCAGAGUUGAAAGGCAGCCAGUGUGGCUGCAGAGAAGCAAGAGGUGGGGCAAGUGGUGGAGGAGGUCAGAGAAUGAGGCCAGGCUGAUCCUGCUGGCCUCAAGGCAUGGUCAGAAGUAUGCAAGUCACUGCAGUGUGGUAGAAAGCCAUUGGAGGUUUUUAAGCAGAAGAGCAACAUGACCUGAUUCGUAUUUGUAAAAUAUCUGUCAGGCUGCUAGUAGGGAAAAUAACUGGGGCGGGGGGUAAGAGUAGAAGCAGGGAGAUCAUCUGUGGCAUUGCAGUAGUCAAGGAAAACAAUGGCAGUGGCUUAGACUAUAGUGGAGCGAAAGAGGUCAGAUAUGGGAUGUAUUCUGUGGGAAAAGCUGGCAGAACAUGAUGGGGGAUUAGAUGAGGGGAUGUGGGAGAGAAUUCAAGAUGGUACCUGGCUUUAGGAAUGACUCAAUAGUCAUCUGGUAACAACUCACCUAGAUAAUGGAUGAGUAGUAUGCAGCAAAGUGCCAGAAACUUACUAAAGGAUCAGUACAUUUUUAUCACAUUCAUUAUUCCUGUAGGCCAGUUCUGCAACUGACAUUCAGUUGAACUUUCGGUGAUUGCCUCUCUGAUCCUCAGUUUCCUCAUGUAUACAAUAUGGCAGGCCAUAUAUUUUUACAUUCAUUUGACAAAUAUGUAUUAGACAUUUAUCAUACACCAGGCUCUAUGCUGAGUACCAGAGAUACAAGGUAAAGAAGACCAAAUAGUAUCGGCCCUUAUGGGAGAGUGGAGAAGACACUAUUGAACAGGAAGUUACUAGUCCUAGGGAGGGUCAAGAAGGAGGUGCUGGGAGAAAGACCUUGUUCAAGUGUGUGUCCUUGGGGAGGCUUCCUGCAUGGGAUGACAUUUAAGUGGGGUCACAGGAUAAGUAGGGGUUAGCAAGGUGAGGGAUGAGGAUGGGUGGGCUGGGGUGAGCAGGGAAAGAGGGUAUCAGACAGGGGUAGUAGCAUAAGUUAACUACUUGAGGCAUAAAAGAACAUGGCCUUUCCAAAGCCAAAAUGUCCAAGUGUUGAACUGCCCAAACACCCCAUCUCCUGCUUGAGAGACCAUGGAAAGAAAGGGUGGCAAGACUCAUCAAAUGCAGGCAAGUCCAUUUUCAAAUUAUCUGGAUAAGCCAUAGAUUUGUUCAAAUUUUUUAAAAGGUUAGCAAACCACAUUAAAUGCUUGUGAUCUUUUGGAAGGAUCUGGUCUCUAGUUGUGUGUUGCUCAACUCCUUUGCUAAGAUAAUUUAUCAGCUGUUCUUAAAUAAGGAUGUGCAUCAGCCUCUCUAGGGGGAACAGAGAAAGUGGCCUCACUCCCAAAAUUCUGAUUCACAGGUCUCUCUAUAGGUAUUCCUGACAUGCAAUCAGGAUUAGACACUGCUUAAUUAUGGGAAUACGCUUCACUGAUUCUGCAACAUGUUCUGAGUUCUGUCCUUGAGUGCAGCUGGAUCACUAAAAAGCUACUGGACUUUAUUAUACUAUGUUCCUAAUGGACAAAAGUCUUGGAAUUAUGCACAGAUGUGGAAAAAAUUCAUCUUAAACAUUUCUGCAUUCCCUGUAGAACUAUUUUUGAAGGUAUUACAAUGUUCAUUAUAAUCUAUUUGCUUUAGAAUUUAUUUCAGUUAAAGAAUUGGCAUGCUUUCUUUUUACAGAUGGUGAGCAUUAAAUAAUCCAAUAUAACUACCUUUUUGCCUUGGCUGCUAGGAAGCUCAGAGUCAAAACUGAAUCCCACCUACAGUAACUAUUCUCAACUGCACAAGCAGCAUAUUGGCAUACCACUUUUCUCGUGGUUUUAAUUUCAAAUUUUUAGUUUAAUACUAUGCCAAGUAUAUAUGAAGAACCCACUGUUUCUACAUCUGAAUGAAGGUUCUUCACCAGCACCAACAUGCACCAUUGCUGGAGUCCAUGGAAGAAUGACAAAGACUAUAGACAUCACUACUAUGUGGGUGGCAGACACUGUGAAACCAAACCACUAGGCACUUGGAAAUAGAAGCAUUUGUUGAAAUCACAUGCAAUUAGAUCAAAGACAAAAGUAUUCUUUCUCACAAUUCCAUCCAGAAAGAACACUGAGGGUCAGGCCUGGUGGCUCACGCCUGUAAUCCCAGCCCUUUGGGAGGCUAAAGUAGGUGGAUCACUUGAGGUCAGGAGUUUGAGACUAGACUGGCCAACAUGGUGAAACCCCAUCUCUACUAAAAAUACAAAAAUUAGCUGGGCAUGGUGGCACACGCCUGUAAGCCCAGCUACUUGGGAGACUAAAGUAAGAGAAUCACUUGAGCCUGGGAGGUGGAGGUUGCAGUGAGCAGAGAUCACACCUCUGCACUCCAGCCUGGGUGACAGAGUGAGGCUCUGUCUCAAAAAUAAAUAAAUAAAUAAAUAAAUAAAUAAAUAAAUUAAUUAAUUAAUAAUAAUAAAAAGAAGACUGGGUAUUCCUGAUGUGAGUCAGUUUGUCUUAUGAGUGUUUCCUCAAAAAAAUAGCAAGAAGCAGGUUACACUAUGUGCAAUCCAUUUCCCUCUCCUUUGAUUAUCACAGCAAUCCCCAGAAGCAGCCCUUUCACAGAGAGGAAGCUGAGGCUUAGAGGGUGUCAAUGGAUGAUCCAGUGCUGCAGAGCCAGAAGGUAGCAGAUCCAGGAUGUCUGUCUUUUGUGACAAGUCCCACCUUCCUUCUGGAUGUAUCUUUCUAUCCCCUGUAAAUGAGUCCGACUGCAGGUACCAGCCUUAUAAAUGUGAUUUUCUCCAUCUGCUUGGGUAUUCCACCAGGCCCCCCACUGUUGGCACUCUGCUUCUUCUCAGCCAACAAGGCCUUUUGAUGAUGUGCUGUGUUUCCCUGUCUCUGAUAACCCAGUUUAGGUCUUGUUAUUCCAAUUUUGACCUUUAUCUCCAACAUUACAGAGGAAUCUCCGUAUUCUUCUCAGUGCAUUUCUGUCUCCUAUCUCCCCACCUUCCUGUCACACCUCAACCCCAUUCUAAGCUUCAUGUCCAAUAUCUGUAGAGUACAGGUGCUCACUCCCAGAAACUGUGGGAUCCAUCCUUAGUGGGGGAAGCUGCAUGAGCUGCUUUGCUGCUGCUCUUGGAUGGAUCCUGGGAUGAUUGUUGGAAGCCCUAAUCCACUGGGCCCUCAACUUCUAGAAGGAAUUUUCUUUUUCUUUCCCUAUUUAUUAUUAUUUUGUAGUCUUUCAUGUUCCACAAUAAUUUAAGGAGGUUCAAAUUUAGAAACAUUUCCUACUGAAGCAAAAGCUGAUAUUUUGCCCCAGGACAAAAUAUUUUUGCAUUGAUCCAGGGGGAACUGAGACCCAGCGCAAUGGGAAAGACUCAGGCCCAGAGGGCCCGUUCUGCCAGUAUGCACCAUCCCCUCUGUUCCAAUUAUGCUGUCAGCAAAUGUAUCCAUUUUUGAAAUUACACCACUAUUAUGGGUUAUUUAUAUAGGGUAGACUGAAGUGUCCAUAAUGCUUAUCCAUAAGGUGAGCACUUUCUUAUUUCUGACUGCUCUCUACUCCACCUGUUUCCUGGAUUUGAGCCAAUUUGCCACCCAUUUUUAAUAGAUGGUCCUACUUCUGUGCUUUUAGACUAUUAUCCACUUUCUUGAGUGCCACUAGUCUGUAUUAGUUUACUGAGUUUAGAAGGGUCACAGUCUCUAUCUACCAGGUUACCAAGACAGGUGAGUCUGUUCUGUUUUACACACACACACACACACACACACACACACACACACACACGCAUGCACACAUAGAGUUCUCCCAAACUUUGUAGUCCCUGAAUUGGGUGGUUUCCCAUGAGCUCUUAUUGCCUAAGUGAAUAAAGAAGUUGAGACGUUUUCCUUGCUCUGGAAACAUUAGUGUCUGUCUAAGUCAUUUGUGGUUUCCUUGGUCUAGUCUACUAGAAGUUCUUUCUUGCAUGAAAAAAACUGAAAUGGAACUUGAAUGAUCCUCCUCCCACUAUUUAAGUACUGCUUUCUGAAACUUUCAGCUAUAUAGCAAUUGCCUCCAAAGAGUUCCUGUUAUUUUCCUCUAUUUUUUUCCUUUGUAUUUGGAUUUACCUCUUUAGAACCAUGCUUCUUCUCAUCCAUCUUCUGUCCCGAGCACCUUAUUACUCUGUUCAUUAGAGUCUUUUUCAGAACAUACUUCAUAGUCCCUCAGGAUUCUGUUUAACCAUCCUUUUCUUUGGAAGCCUAAGUGCAAGGGAAAGCCAUUGUGAAGAUACAGUGACAGGCACUUAGUGGGUUCAGGUCGUUUCAUUCCAGCAAUUGGCUGACCAAGCCAAAGCACUAGAAAGAGUUGACCACUUCUGCAUAAAACUUGGUCAGUGGGUGGCCGAAGAACUGAUUUCAGUCCUGACCCCUUCAGAGCCUUGGUUUCUUCAACUGUGAAAUUAUUGAGUUGGGUUGGAGGAAUUCUUCAGCUUCAUUUCUAAAAUUAAACUUUUGAUUUUGAUAAAAUUGGGGCCAUCUGCAAUUGCAAGAAAUAGUGCAGAAAGAUUCCAUGUACCUUUUAUUUCAUUUCCUCCAAUGGCAACUUCUUGCAAAACUCUAGUACAGUAUCACAACCAGGAUAUUGACAUUGACACAUUUAAGAUACAGAACAUUUCCACCACCACAAAGACCCCUCAUAUUGCCCCUUUGUAGACACACACCUUCCUCCCUUGUCCCUGACUCUUAGCAACCACUAAUCUAUUCUCCAUUUCUAUAAUUUUGUCAUUUCAAGAAUGUUCAUACCAAUGAGAACACAUGGACACAGGAAGGGGAACAUCAC